rnacentral:lncRNA from 1 species
UGGUAUCACAUGCGAAGCCCUAGGAAAAUAUGAUGUAUGCUGUGUUUCCCGCUUCCUCUUCAUGCCAUGUAGAACCGAAGGCUUACUAUCCAAUAUCAUGGCGUUCGGUGCUUCCAUUUCUGCCUAGAUCAAUCCCUAUCAACAGGUUUAAAACCAAUAGUUCUACUGUACAAACGAAUAGAAUGUCUAACCUUCUACCGAACUACAGGAACAGUCUCCUAAAAGUUGAAAUCCUAGAACUGCAGUUAGUGUCAAUCUUGUACAUGUUCAUGUUGCACAUAUCCAUGUUGUACAUGUUGAUGUUGCAUAUAUUAAUCUUGGACAUGUUACUCUUCAUUUUCUUUCCUUACAAUUAUUUCCUAGAAGAAAUAGCAACUUCUUUAUUACUCUACAGCAUUCGGUACCCUGCCUCUCACAACAUCACAUAACAGUACCUGCAGAUGAGAUAAAUUUUGGAGUGAUUGAUUUACUUUUCUGUUUUCUAGAAUGGGGAGGGAUGGAAGAGAGAAGAAAAUAAAAGAAAAAGAAAAAUUAAAAACCCUAACUUAAAG